rnacentral:lncRNA from 1 species
UUUAUUUGCCUAAAUUGUUUUCUCUUGUUUCUUAUUGCUAUAAAAUGUCUCAAAUGGUGAAAGAAACUGCAGAUCAAAAAGGAGAGAUCAAACCUAUAUACAAAAGGAUCCAAAAUCUACACGAGAAAGCCUGAGAUCAACAAAAUACCCAAAAGAAAAGGAGAGAGGAUCUACAAUAUACAAGAGAGAUUGUGAAAGAGAAAAGCAAGAGCAUUCAAAGAGAGG